rnacentral:ncRNA from 1 species
GAGUAGGAGGGCGCGGCUGUCGAUGCGAAGCUUUGGGCGCGAGCCUGAGUGGAUCGGCAACUGGUGCAGAUCUUGGUGGUAGUA